GAAAUGCGAGAAGUAAUGUGAAUUGCAGAAUUCAGUGAAUCAUCGAAUCUUUGAACGCAUCUUGCGCUCCUUGGUAUUCCAAGGAACAUGCCUGUUUGAGUGUCAUUU
rnacentral:rRNA from 1 species